CCUCCUCGACGCCAAAUUUCUUCGGUGAGACCUCGCUAUUCCGUGUUCCUUGAUUUUAUAAAAUAACUAAACUAAUAAGCCAUGAAAUAACUGUGUAUGUCGUUUAAUCGCAGCCCCUUAUCGUCAUCGCGCUUCACGCGUUGUUUCUUGACAGAAAGCCAAACCGACAUGCACGCGUUCGCAACUCCACUCGGAUUUUGGCCAGGUCGUUCGCUUUAGAAAAAUUGUGAUUUUGUUUUAUUUACGAUUCAAUCGAUGGCGUGAAUAUGUGCGUGAAAGUAUAAUUGUAUGAAUAAACGCGUGUAGAGAAGAAAAUGAAAUAGAAAAGAACUCGGGUAUUUUUAUUUUGAUAGGAAAAUAUGCGAUGUGUUGUUUGAUGCGAAAAACUAAGUUACAAAAUGCGGAUUAUGUUUUGGGAAAUGCAUCGAUAUGUGUUUAUGUGAUAAGUAUAAUUGUUUUAGGCAAUGUGAUGGGAUUCAUGAUUAUAUGGGGAGUAUAUUUAUUGAUGUGACGAGUAGUUUAGAAAAUGCUAGUUUGCGUAGAGGAUGUAUUGUUAAGACAUGAGUGUCGGAAUUCAUAUAUUAGUGGUUACGCUACGAUGAUCGAAGUGUCUCGAGUGCACGCCACAAUAUGGGUAUGCGAGACGGGGUUAUGUGCGUGAUGAGUUUAGUAAAAAUCCAUCAGUGUCACUGGUGUUAAGUUAAGGUUUAUUUGCGCGUAUAAAGUAAUAAUGUGUUUAAUACUUAGAACUCUUAGUCGAUAGUAGAAAUUGUUUUGGUUUAUAUAGAAAGGUGGUGACAUGCCAAGUAGUCAUCGUUUUUCUCUAUAUUUAUAAGUCGAGUCGUGACGAUGCGUAUUAUGCGUUCGUUAAAUUAUGCUUGUGCAUAUAGUGUAUGGUUGUGCUCACGAUUUCGAGUAGAUACUUCAAGUAAGUCAAGUAGGUUUGUGAUACAAGUGUGUAAUGGAGUUAGUUGUUUUAGGAUAAUUAUUGAAAUACUCGGCUCAUAUGAUAAACAUGUAUGCGUUCAUGAUUGGGGAAGUAAAUGCAUGGUGUUUACGAAUUGUAGACUGGUGGUUUACGAUUCGUAUGAUUUGGUCGGUGUGCGAAGAUACUUGUAUAUAUGUAUGUUUAUGAAAAUGUUGUAGUGUAUGUUGUGUCUCGGAUUGCGACGAUAAUAGGCAAGCCAACGUGUAUGUUAAUUAGCGGCUAUGUCAUUGCUCUAGUUAGCAAAUUGUUUGAUGGUUUGGUUAAGCUCGUAAUCACGAUGAAUUGCUUGUUGUGGUCUAAAUGUGUAUGGUUAUGGUCGCGGGUAAAAAUUUGUAGUGUUCAUGUGAUGUCUAAGUGAAAAUGCAAAUUAGUGUCUGAAGGGCGCAAUCGAUAUACACAUUUAUACCGGGUUUGAUUAUUGUGGUGAAUACGUUGUUGAUGGUGUAUGGUAAUUCUAGCGCACAAAAUAACUUGUAUAAAAUUAGUAAGUCUACUUGUUGGUUCUAAUUUGAUUGUUUUAACUCUAACAUAUGGUAAAGUGUUAGAAUGGUUCAAGUCUCUAGAACGCGGCAAUUCUUGAAGUAAUUAGGAGCUGAAUUUUAUUAGUUGUUGUUUUGGGCUGCACGCACUGUUUUCGUCAUGCUUUUUCUUUAACGAACCAAAUCAUGUUUUCUGUAGAAAAGACAUAUAGAAAAGUUAUAGAUAACUUUAUUAUCUUACUGGUGUUAAAAUUUGUGCUUUUCACAAAUUCAGUAAUUGAAUCUGUCCAAUUUCUAUACAGGUUUCCGAGAUUGCACUGUUUGCUUAAGUUAAUGUUACAAUCUGUUCAUGGUCAUUAUACGAAAGUUGUAGGUAAUUUUCUUAUCUUGCUUGUGUUAAAAUUUCAUAACCACAGGCCUGAUAGUUUAAGAGUUAUGAAUUUUACAAACUGGUUGUUGUGUUCUGUCCAUUAUCAGAACAGAUUUUAAAAACUAAAUUGUUUGAUUUGGUUAAACAUAGAAUCACUUCUUGGUGAUUAUAAAGGUUAUGUGGUAUUUUUUCUAAGCUUUCCAAAAAGUCUUGGAUCACUCUUUUUGGUGAUCUGAAGAUUAACUUAUGGAUGUUUAAAGUGUGAAGACUGAAUCUGUCCAGUUCUAGACAGCAAAGCCUUCUAAUGCCUUUUAUUCUAAAUUUCAUAUUGAAUCACCUUGGGAUGUUUAUAAAUGAUUUGUAGAAGUUUUCAUUAGCUUUCCAGAAAGUCCAGAAUCACCUGUUUUGGAUGCAUGACUCUCUGAUUAUGAAUUUUUGAAGUCGUAAGUCUGAAUGUGUCCAAACCUGGACAGAGCUAUUGUUUUUGCAUAAUUCGACCUUGCUAGGAGUCUAAUCAUGCUGAGGUAAAAAUACCAAAGUUGUAGAGCACUUUUUAAGCUUUCCCGAAAGUCCUAGUUUGCUAUUUUUGGAUUAAUAUUUGAAGAGUUAUGAUUAAAAUAAACAACUGCGGUGCUGCUGUCCCAAAUAUGUUAGAUGCGAUUGUUUGGUCUACUCUAUUGUGCUGCCUUGAGUGACUGCUUGCUUCUUUUGGGUGUUAAUUGAACAUGAGUAAUAAUGAUAGUGACUAAUAUAUUUGAGCCAAAAUAUAUAAGUAACUAGUACACGUCUUGCUAAGUUAGUGAACCAAAUAGGUUAGGGUCUAAUAAGUGUUUGUCUAGUGACUGGUUGUAGAACCCGAUUAAGUGUUUAUUCCCAUUUAACUAAGUUUGUCUAUAUAGAAGCCAUGGCAAAUUGAUGUGUACUUAACUAGCAUAAUAAUAAAGGAACUAAUGAAAAAUUAGAGCGAAUAUGAUAAAUGCUUGCACGUGUGAUGACGUGUUGCGCUGGUUAAUUCUAGGAAGUAAUUGUCGUCUUUCUAAUGGUAUUGAUUACGUAGGCCCGAUGACGUAUAAAUAACUAGCGCUUGCGUAUAUUUGUUGCAGUGUCUUACUAUUUAGUGUUUAAUUGCUACCAUAUAUUUUGGGAUUGUCUUGUGAUAUAUUUCAUCAUAUUCAUACAUAUGCAUCCUGCAUCUCAUUUAGGAUCGAGAGAUGAUGAUCGUGCGAGAUAAAGGACGUGGAGUGGAGCUGACUCCAAGACGGUGUUGGCAGACGCCUUGAAUAUGGACAGACAGAACAAAGGCCAGGAUAGGAG
rnacentral:lncRNA from 1 species